GGGAAUGUCUUGGUAUCGACAGGGAUAGUUUGAGCUUAUAUUGCGAGUCGAGGGAUUCGGCCUCGUUAAAACGAUAAAGCCUAAUAACUGGCAAACAAAACAACAACUUCGCUUUCGCUGCCUAAAAACAGUCGUUAGCGGUUCCUCCCUCCAUCGUCCAUGUGGCAGGGCCGGGGACUCAACUUAAGUGGACUACGCCGAAAUCCACCGUCUGAGGGUGACGGAAGAGACUAACCAGACUAGCUGCUCCCAAGCUUGUCAGUUAGCUAAAGGAGUAAGCGAAGCAAAAUGUACUGACUACACUCGUAGAUAUAUAAGUGUCAAUAUCUUUGCACAUGGGUUCAACUCCCAUCAUUUCCACUU
rnacentral:tmRNA from 1 species